UACGUAGGGUGCAAGCGUUAAUCGGAAUUACUGGGCGUAAAGCGUGCGCAGGCGGCUUUGCAAGACAGAUGUGAAAUCCCCGGGCUUAACCUGGGAACUGCAUUUGUGACUGCAUGGCUGGAGUGCGGCAGAGGGGGAUGGAAUUCCGCGUGUAGCAGUGAAAUGCGUAGAUAUGCGGAGGAACACCGAUGGCGAAGGCAAUCCCCUGGGCCUGCACUGACGCUGAGGAGCGAAAGCAUGGGUAGCGAACAGG
rnacentral:rRNA from 1 species